GUGGAGGCAAUGAUGUUUUGAACUACCUAUUUUAUGAGGGAAUUUUCCCUUGUGAUUACAAAAGUACCAAUGGAUCCUUCUGAGCCUUCA